CUGGGAGGGCGUCAUUGAGCGUCACAUUGAGAGUGACAGGGGGCCACAGAGAGAUGGAGUGUCUAUAUGCUGAGCUCUAUUGAACACACAGACAAGCAAUUCAUUUCUCUUCUGUCGACACGUUUGUUGGGAAAGGACGGAUGCCUCCAGGCCUCUGCAAAGAAAUAAAUGUCAUCUGAUAUCUAGGUCGACUCUGACGUCUCGCCAUUGCACCAGGAGUGUCAUCACCCCGCCCCCAACAACAUUAAAUUCACAAGAGAAGAAGACGAAGCCGAGAAGGUGCCACAAGACCUCAACUGGAUUGUCCGACAUUUCUCAAGCCACACAGCAGGGGUCUCAAACUCAUGGCCUGCUGGGGCCCCUACUUCAAAAAUUAGUGUAAGUCUGGCCCGUGAAGCCUCGGCAACUUCAGAAGCACUUGCAGGGAGUGAAGCUGCGAAAUUCGAACCGUAAAGUGGCGAGGGACUACUAUACUUGAUGCAGUCCAACCUCAACCAGACUCUACCUCCAGCAGCGCCCAGGUGAGGCCUCACUUGACUGCUCUGUUCACAGAUCCUCUUAUAUUAUCAUUCAUUAGUGACUUCCCAGGCUCCUGCCACCUCUUCCAGCUCCGUUGGGGAGAUACCAAGGUGUUCCCAGGCCAGCUGUGAGACAUAAUCUCCCCAGUGUGUCCUAGGUCUACCCCCGGACCUCCUCCAGGCUGGGCAUGCCUGGAACACCUCACCAAGAAGGCGUCCAGGAGGCAUCUGGACUAGCUGCCCGAGCCACCUCAACUGGCUGAGUGGGAGGGUUCACUGAUUCAUUUCAUUUCUUCUGCUAGCAUUAAAGAAUUCAGAUCAGUUCCUCAGAUCCUUCAGUUCUAUACAGUAUCAGCGCUGGCUCUUGCACGUCAUCCUCCUGACUCCUCUCUUCUCCGAGACACGUGCCUGUUUCUCUGUCCGAGCUUGGCACGGGUGACGGGAUGAUGGUGCUGGAAAGAGUCACAGUCACAGUGGCACCUCCAAACUAUGGCCCUGGCAUGUUACCUGAGAGUCUUCAGUGUUAAACCAAAGCUCAGACCUGACCAACCAGCUUGAUGAGUGGGUAGCUUUUGUGACAUAUUUAGUGACAAAACUCAAAUACAGUGAAUCCCAGCAAAUUUUGUCUCCAAACAUAGUUAGAAAACACAUCUCAUUCACACUAAGUUGGUAAUAAUUUAUAGAUACAGUCAUCCCUUGCUUAUAGUGGUUAAUUGGUUCCAGACAUAACCGCGAUAAAUACAUUUUUGCGAUAUACGAUUCAAUGUUAAUAAAUUGAAUAUUUUUGUAGUUAGAGCAUAGAAAACCUGUGUAUGAUUUUCUAAAUACUGUUUUUAACAUUAUUAGAGCCAUGUAGACAUGAAACAACACACCUAUAGUCACCUUUACACGUCACGUUAUCCAUUGUUUAAAACACAUUGCGUAACUCGUAUGCUGCAGGGACUCAAGGCGGCUUUUAGCUACAAAGCUAGCUAGUUAGCCUCUAAUUUAUUUCUUUUAAACUUAAGAAGCCAAAAACUUCCCACUUCCACACGGAAUGGGAGGAGAACUUUAUUUCACUCUGCCAUGGCUGACUUCAUGACUUCAUGCAGUGUUAAGGUAAUGUAAUCUAAGGUAAUGUCUCAAUGUUUUGUGUCAUUACUGCCGCCUAGUGACCACAAUACAACAUAUCACAUGUAUUUCAAUAUAUUGUGACUAAUAAUAGACCAUAGUUUACCACGAAACAGCGUCCAUUCUGAAAAUACGCGAUGUAGCAAGGGAGCGAUAAACCGCGAUAUUGCGAGGGACGACUGUACACCACGUAAUAAUCCUGGCAAAAUGUACCGCUUACAUACACCAGCCCACAGUUUUUACAGUACAUGUUGAUGUCUUUAUGCUUCGCUGAUGAUGUUUUUUUGCCAAGCGAUGAGAUAUGUUCAACAGUCCUUGAACGCUCCAUAGAAAACUGAAGCUUAUGCAGUGAAACCUUGGUUAGCGUCAUUAAUUUGUUCCAGAAGGUCCGACUCGAACUGAAACAUACGCUAAAUGAAUAAAUUUUACCCAUAAGGAAUAAUGUAAAUCCAAUUAUAUUCGUUCCAGAAAGCCAAAAAUGUUAACACAAAACAUGUUUUUAUAGUUUUACAUGCAAAAAGAAGACGUGAUUCUUGACACUAUUUGGCAGCGAAAUCUACAUGGACACCACUUUCGUGUUUUGCCAUGAGUUAUUUCUUGUGAUUCUUCUAUUCUUCCAUCUACAGCAGGGGUGUCAAACUCAUCUUCAUUGAGGGCCACAUCGCAGCUACGGCUGCCCUCAGAGGGCCACUUGUAACUGUCAGUAUAUAUGAAUCUAAAUAUGAAUAUAACCUCAUGAUAUUAUUACACAGUUGCCCAUGCAUUAGAUUAUUAUA